UGCUUUUUCGCUUUGAUCAUAGAGUUAUUCCUUACUUUUUCACCUCGCAACUAAGAGGAGAGAAAAAAUUGCAACUUUAUUGCUGAAAUAAUUUUUUGGGUUUGGAUGACAGCGCCAUAGAAAGCUUUCAAGGCUUCUUGUUUGUCCUUGAGGCUAAUUCUUGUUUUCGACUGCUUUUGAGUCUUAAAUAUUUAAUUGAUAGCGAAGUUAGUCAUUCCUUGGGUUUGGAUGACUGUGCCAAGUUGAGCGCUUAUCGUACUAUAUAUCGAAUCAAGUGAAGAGGAAAGAACAGGAGGAUGGGGAAAACAAGACAUGAACAUCACAGGUGCAUGACUCGACGACCAUGGUUGAGGAGGCCGGCCUUACCUCGCCCCUAAUGUCGCCAUGAUCAUCAUAUGUUGGAAUUGUGGUGGCCUUGUCUGGGUUAAUUAUGGCAGUAAACCACCUUAGGGCUGUAGUAAGACAAGUCAAGCAUGACUACUUAUUUCUUGUGGUGACCAUGGUGGAAGAUAAGUAAGAUCUUGAGAAUUUUUGUUUUUUUAUCCAUCUUUUGAAGUCCCCCCUACAGGUAGGAAAGGAGGACUUUACUUUAAUUUGCUUAGGAAAAACACAUAGAUUUAAUUUGAUGUAAUCCUUAUCAAUUAUGAUAAUAUGAUAGACCCUAUUAUGUAUUCGGAUGCUUUUUCUAUUCUGUGGAAUAUGAUUACUUUAUUUAUGCA